rnacentral:rRNA from 1 species
GGUCAGGAUGAACGCAGCGACAGGCCUAACACAUGCAAGUCGAGGGGCAGCACAAGGAGCAAUCUGAGGUGGCGACCGGCGCACGGGUGAGUAACACGUAUGCAACCUGCCUGUAAGCGGGGAAUAACCCGUUGAAAGACGGACUAAUACCGCAUAAUACUAAAUUACUGCAUGGUAAUUUAUUUAAACAUUUAUGGCUUACAGAUGGGCAUGCGCAUGAUUAGCUAGUUGGAGAGGUAACGGCUCCCCAAGGCAACGAUCAUUAGGGGUUCUGAGAGGAAGGUCCCCCACACUGGUACUGAGACACGGACCAGACUCCUACGGGAGGCAGCAGUGAGGAAUAUUGGUCAAUGGACGAGAGUCUGAACCAGCCAAGUCGCGUGCAGGAAGAAUGUCCCUAUGGAUUGUAAACUGCUUUUGCAGGGGAAUAAAGUGCAUCACGUGUGAUGUUUUGUAUGUACUCUGCGAAUAAGGAUCGGCUAACUCCGUGCCAGCCGCUGC